rnacentral:lncRNA from 1 species
AAGAGGGGCAGCCGGCCACGGCCACCGCGGGCCAGUGGGCAGGGAGCGGGCUGCUGUGGCCAGGACAACCACAAUCACUGCUCUGGACUCCGGAUCCCUGGCUGCAUCCAGCCUGGCGGUUGUGGCCCGGCCCAGCUGCCAUGGCGCACUGCAAGACAGAGCAGGAUGACUGGCUGCUGGCCCACCUGAAGUACCUGCUUUUUAUCUUCAACUUCUUCUUCUGGGUAAGUGCAGGCUACGGCACACCCCUCCCCACACGCACAGUCUGGCCAUAUGCACUUUUGAGUCACUGCCAAGGUUGACUUCUCCCAAGCUGAUGACCACCAUCCUGCCUGCUGCUUGCUCAAAGUCAGCCCUGCCCUGGCUAUGAAGGUGGGAGGAAUCCAGGCUGCAGCUCUCAUGGAGUCCAGGACACCACAUCGAGACUGAACUGUGUAUGGUCUCAUCUAUCUUCCCUG